rnacentral:rRNA from 1 species
CCUAACACAUGCAAGUCGAACGGUAACAGGAAGAAGCUUGCUUCUUUGCUGACGAGUGGCGGACGGGUGAGUAAUGUCUGGGAAACUGCCUGAUGGAGGGGGAUAACUACUGGAAACGGUAGCUAAUACCGCAUAACGUCGCAAGACCAAAGAGGGGGACCUUCGGGCCUCUUGCCACCGGAUGUGCCCAGAUGGGAUUAGCUAGUAGGUGGGGUAACGGCUCACCUAGGCGACGAUCCCUAGCUGGUCUGAGAGGAUGACCAGCCACACUGGAACUGAGACACGGUCCAGACUCCUACGGGAGGCAGCAGUGGGGAAUAUUGCACAAUGGGCGCAAGCCUGAUGCAGCCAUGCCGCGUGUAUGAAGAAGGCCUUCGGGUUGUAAAGUACUUUCAGCGGGGAGGAAGGGAGUAAAGUUAAUACCUUUGCUCAUUGACGUUACCCGCAGAAGAAGCACCGGCUAACUCCGUGCCAGCAGCCGCGGUAAUACGGAGGGUGCAAGCGUUAAUCGGAAUUACUGGGCGUAAAGCGCACGCAGGCGGUUUGUUAAGUCAGAUGUGAAAUCCCCGGGCUCAACCUGGGAACUGCAUCUGAUACUGGCAAGCUUGAGUCUCGUAGAGGGGGGUAGAAUUCCAGGUGUAGCGGUGAAAUGCGUAGAGAUCUGGAGGAAUACCGGUGGCGAAGGCGGCCCCCUGGACGAAGACUGACGCUCAGGUGCGAAAGC